CGAUGCAACGCGAAAACCUUACUACCCUUGACAUGUCCGGAAUCCUGCAGAGAUGCGGGAGUGCCCGAAAGGGAAUCGGAACACAGGUGCUGCAUGGCUGUCGUCAGCUCGUGUCGUGAGAUGUUGGGUUAAGUCCCGCAACGAGCGCAACCCUUAUCAUUAGUUGCUACGCAAGGGCACUCUAAUGAGACUGCCGGUGACAAACCGGAGGAAGGUGGGGAUGACGUCAAGUCCUCAUGGCCCUUAUGGGUAGGGCUUCACACGUCAUACAAUGGUCGGUACAGAGGGUUGCCAAGCCGCGAGGUGGAGCCAAUCCCAGAAAGCCGAUCGUAGUCCGGAUUGUUCUCUGCAACUCGAGAGCAUGAAGUCGGAAUCGCUAGUAAUCGCGGAUCAGCAUGUCGCGGUGAAUACGUUCCCGGGUCUU
rnacentral:rRNA from 1 species